AUUGAACGCUGGCGGCAGGCUUAACACAUGCAAGUCGAACGAGUGGCUGACGGGUGAGUAAUGCUUGGGAAUCUAGCUUAUGGAGGGGGAUAACUACGGGAAACUGUAGCUAAUACCGCGUACCAUAGGAUGAGCCCAAGUGGGAUUAGGUAGUUGGUGGGGUAAAUGCCUACCAAGCCUGCGAUCUCUAGCUGGUCUGAGAGGAUGACCAGCCACACUGGAACUGAGACACGGUCCAGACUCCUACGGGAGGCAGCAGUGGUGAAUAUUGCGCAAUGGGGGGAACCUGACGCAGCCAUGCCGCGUGAAUGAAGAAGGCCUUCGGGUUGUAAAGUUCUUUCGGUAUUGAGGCGUUAAAUACAGAAGAAGCACCGGCUAACUCCGUGCCAGCAGCCGCGGUAAUUC
rnacentral:rRNA from 1 species